GACGAACGCUGGCGGCGUGCUUAACACAUGCAAGUCGAGCGGAAAGGCCCUUCGGGGUACUCGAGCGGCGAACGGGUGAGUAACACGUGAGUAACCUGCCCCAGACUUUGGGAUAACCCUCGGAAACGGGGGCUAAUACCGGAUACGACACAGCUUCGCAUGGGGUCUGUGUGGAAAGUUUUUCGGUUUGGGAUGGGCUCGCGGCCUAUCAGCUUGUUGGUGGGGUGAUGGUCUACCAAGGCGACGACGGGUAGCCGGCCUGAGAGGGCGACCGGCCACACUGGGACUGAGACACGGCCCAGACUCCUACGGGAGGCAGCAGUGGGGAAUAUUGCACAAUGGGCGGAAGCCUGAUGCAGCGACGCCGCGUGAGGGAUGACGGCCUUCGGGUUGUAAACCUCUUUCAGCAGGGACGAAGCGUAAGUGACGGUACCUGCAGAAGAAGCGCCGGCCAACUACGUG
rnacentral:rRNA from 1 species